CAGCUUUUACGGUGGGAUCUCCACGUGGUGUUCUUCUACAAACUUUCAACACCACUGUGGGCGACGGCAGCGCAGGAAUUAAGGUGUGCUGCCAUGCAGCACUUCGAUAAGAAAGAGAGGUGACGAUUUCCACUCUGUUCUUGGAAGAGCCACUUGCGUUGAUUUUCUCUUUGAUCUGGUUUCUAGAUUUUCAUUUCGUGCUCGUCACAGGCAUCUCAGAUGUUGCUAUCAAGCUUUGUCUGAUUGGAACAUGUCACGUAAACAUUCUCGCGGAGUCUGGAUGCUGCAAACGAAAGCAUGAAAAAGCCUCCCGAACAAUUUAGUAUCAAAUAUGUUCUCUUAAGGCGUGGACCUUACUACUUGACAAUUCCGGAAUCUCAGGCGCUACAUCGGAAACCUUUUGUAUAAGCCCUAAAAGAAUAUCCACGAUUGGUUCGACAGUACGUGCUCAUAAAUGGAUUAUUUAAUGUAAGAGAACCAAAUUGCUCAAAGGCUAUUACUUGAAAGCUAGGCUCUAGAGGUACUUGGCUCACAUUAUUUAUUAAUGUCUAUCUAGACGAGUAAAGACCGACCGAUUAGAUGGAAGUAAGCUGGUAGUAGCCAUCUGGAGUAAUACCUGAGUGAGAGAAGGAAGGAUUCAUCGAAAAAGAAGCAAGGAAUAUCAUUGACAAACGUCUUUGUUUGGAGUCCACAAACUCGACCAUGAGGAGCUGAAACGAAAGAAAUGAUAUGAUGAUCUUGGGGUCCUGGAAAAAGGCUUGACGAAAGCUGGAAGCAUUCGAUCGCCGCAGCUGCGUUCUAGAUGUAAAUGCAUGGACUUUUCGACGAACUUGUAGAUCCAAAUGCC
rnacentral:lncRNA from 1 species